CAAUACAGAUAUAGACAUACAGUGCGACAAGGAUCUUUUGGCGCGUGGCCAAAAUCGGAACUAACGCCGCCAUCUUGUGAGGUGUCACACUGUCCCCUUGUAUGUGGUGUUGUUAAGUAAAUAAUCUGAAUUUCAAUCUCCUGCGAUGGUAUGUUUAAAUAUUA